UUUUUACCAUAUGAUCAGUUGUACUUAUGGAACAUAACUACAUGUUUUCUAAUAAAUCUGGUUCAGAUUUGAUUUUUUUAUGAGUUAUGGAACAUAACUACAUUUAUAUGAGUUUAACCAUAAGUUGUACUUAUGUAACCUUGCUGCUGACCCAAACAGAUAUAUAAAUGAAAGCUACUCAAAAACAUCACAAUAACUAUUUCAAUCAAUAACCAAAUAAUUGUUUGACC
rnacentral:lncRNA from 1 species